rnacentral:rRNA from 2 species
CCUGGUGAAAUUAGCGCUGUGGAACCACCCGAUCCCAUCCCGAACUCGGAAGUGAAACGCAGCUGCGCCGAUGGUAGUGUGGCUCAAGCCAUGCG